CGUCAUUCCCGUCUUCGGUUCACCCCACGAUCGGGGCGGUUGCCGACGCCGGACGUGCGCACCCACGCCUCGAGCAUUCCGACCAUCUCUCACAUCCCUAACUGCUCCGCCGCCGCGCCACUCCUACGCCCCCGCCGCACCACUUCUCCACCGCGCGCCCCUGCCUCCUAUGCCGCCACGCCACGAUCUCCUCCGCCCCGAAAUGCUCCGCCCGAACCCGCUGGGCUGCCUCCAACUCCGCCUGCCGCAAACUGCUCCGCCCCGAUCUGCUCCACCCCAAACGCGAGCCGAGGCGGAGGUGGCAGGAGAAGCGUUUGCUGUCGCGGCCUCACGUUUUGGGGAGGCGGAUCGCCCGGGAGAUCGCACGCGAGGUGGUGGUGGAGCGCCGGCGAAGAUGACGGCGCCGUGCGGUGGUGGGGACGAGCCGUCGCCGCCGCCGGCUGCGGCAAGGAACGACAAUGAAGUGGCUCAACCAGCGCGGCUAGAGGGGCGCGGUGGCGACCUUCUUCAUGGAGGUCUUCGACAAUGAAGUGGUGCCGUCCACGCUCGGCAGCAUCGCCCCCAUCCUGCGCGUCGCCGUCGAGAUUGAGCCCGAGCGCCCCCGCGUGGCCUACCUCUGUACGUGUUUCAGUAAGACAUACACAAGCUAAUUCAUCAAUCCCCAAUGAUUGCAGCCAACUAAACUGGAGAAAAUCAGUUCAUCCGUGUUGUGAUAAAUUAUUUGCAGUGAGUUCCUGUUCAAGCUAUAUCUUAAUUCUGCUUCUAUGUAAAUAUCUCUAAUAUUAAGUUGUCUUUUUCUAGCAGUCCUUUAUGAACAUGUUUUUAUUGCAAUUUUCAACAUUUACUGGAAAAUUUAGAAUAAUUUUUAUUUGCUUAAUUCAGGAUUGAAGAAGGCUAUUUUCAGUUGAUAAAAGUUACUUAUUAGGAGACUUUGUUUAUAACCAUACAUGAUCAUUUCAGAUUCCAAAAGGUGGGGAACAUCCUGGAUUCAUCCAUUAGCGAUGUUUGGAAUUUUUCUGCAGGUGCAGAGGGUACCUGCACGCCGAGAGCAUAUUGGAAAGGGGUUGGGAGUACUUGCAUUGGCUCCAACAACAACAUAGCCUUUUUUCCCAAGCAAGUUGGGGUAGGCUAAAGAUGAAACCCAAAAGAAAUAAAGAUCAUGAUUCAGUCACAUUGAUAGCUAGUCUCCAAGCGCUCCUAUCCAAAGCUAUCUCUUUAGAGAUAUUUCAAUCCUUAAGGUCUCUCUUAACCGACUCAUCCCAAGUCAGUUUAGGUCUACAUCUACCCCUCUUUACAUUAUCGACCCGCUCAAGAAUCUCACUACGCACCGGCGCCUCAGGAGGCCUCCGUUGGACAUGUCCAAACCAUCUCAGCCGAUGUUGGGUAAGUUUCUCCUCAAUUGGUGCCACUCCGACCCUAUCUCGAAUAGCUUUGUUUCGGACUCUAUCCCUCCUUGUGUGCCCGUAAAACCACCGCAACAUGAAGCCAAACAGCGAUGGACAAAUGAAGCCUAUCACCAGCAAUAAUAUGAUUAUGAGCUCGACUGAGGUGAACUUCACAGUUUCCUUCUUCCUCUCUUUGUCUCCCUCCACUCACAACAGCUCCAGCAGUGAUGGUCUAUGAAUUGUGAUAUAUUUGGGUGAGGGAUUCAAAUGCCCACAACGUCCAUAGCCUGGUCGAUUUUGAUCUUGUGGGAUGCAGGUCUUAGGAUGGCAAUGUUCAAUGUAGGUGUGGACAUCUUUGAGACUAUUACUCUAUGCUCUGUUGUUGUAUCACGUAUUGAUAACAAUUAAAAGGUCUGAAUAGUAGUUUAUUUCUAGAUGUGCAGCUGGUCUCAAAAGGAGACUCAAUACGUCAAAGUGGCUGGAGAGAUCUUGAUUUGAAUGCUUCACCAAGUUUUUUUUUUGAGUAGAAUGCUUCACCAAGUUUUGGAAGUUAAAGAUUUCAUCCAAAAGAUAAUUUUUACUACUCCAACAAAUUUUGGAUGUCAAAAAGAUCUAUAAGGGAUUAACUUCAGUAUUGCACCGAGUUGUAUUUGUCAAAGCUCUAUGAGAAAUGAUUUUAAUGCGGCAGCAAUUCUGGAGGUCAAGCAUUAUUAGAAGAUAUAUUGAUAUGAAUCUGGAACUUUAAAAAAUGGAUAUUGCUCUAUGAAUAUGUUGAUAGCUUUUAAAAAAUCAGUAAAGAGCGUACGCCCGUUGGCGCCGACGAGCAAUAUGUGCGGACGAGUGGGGUCGCAGUCCCGGCACUCUCGGACACCCACUUCAAUUGGUGACAGCCAUUUUAAGUUGCUCUGCUUCACAUGAUUGUGAGGAAAUGAUUCUGAAUAAAUGGUUGUUUCUCUCGUCAAGCUCGACUACCCCACCAACCAUCGGCAAGCACCUCACUGCUGAGGAGAUUUCCGCACAGGUUUUUGGGAAAUUGGUGGAGGAUGCCUCAAAGUUUCUUAAUGGUUGAGGAUGCCUCAAAGUUUCUUAAUGGAAAAAUUACAAAAGCAGUGAUCACAGUCCCACCAUACUUCAAUGAUUCACAAAGGGCAACAACAAAAGAUGCUGGUCGUAUUGCAGGACUGGAAGUUCUCCCUAAACGGGUUGCAGAGAGAAAUAGAGAUGAUGUUACAGAUCUGUUACAUGGUUGGUGGGCAGUCUGUCACUGCAGCUGAAAUAAAGUUUGUGAUCCUGAAGAUGAAGAUCCAGUGUUCUAGCCACAACUCAAGCUCAAGUAUAUCUUGCAUCCGAGCAUCAGUUACUUCAAAUGGGAAAGCAGAGCUUGUGGUGCCAAAGCUACUGCAGAGCUCUGCAAAGGGUAUCAUAGAGGACUCUCUGCUUGCUAACUGAAUUUGUUGUCAUCUAACACUGGACCAAGUUGUUGCAGUCCAAGAUAUUUCAUCGUUGGACAAGCAAUUUUAGUCAGUACUGUUACAAUGAGGGAAGGAAGGAGACUGAACUGUGUUAUUAUAUUGAGAGAGGCCCAAAGUGCUAUAUAUACAAGAGUUGACCCCAAACCCUAGACUAGUACAAUGACUAUAAUACCCUUAACACCCCCUCUCAAAUGCAACGUGAAUGCAAUGACGUUGCAUUUGGAGAGUUGACACUAAGCACUAGAUUAAAACAUAAACAUGAAAAUGAUACAUCCAAAGUCCGAAAUCGAAGAUGUCAUCAAAGCGUGCAACUCUUGAACUUGUCGAUGUUGAUGAUCUCCUCCACAAGAGGGUAUUGCCUUCACAACCGUACUUCAACAAAUAGCCCGAGUCUUCACAAACCAGUACAUCAACUCCUCAAAUACGAGCCUUGCUUUGGAGACUCGAACUUGACAAUAACUUGAGAUGUGUCAAACCAACCAAACGGAGAGGAGAAUGAGAGAUCACUGCUGCAAGACGGCAAGCAGGAGGAUGACAUGAAGGUGAUGACGACAAAUAGACGGCCAUUGGUCAUGAUGUGGAGCAAAACGGCUCCGAAAGGGACCAAGAGGGCAAAGGUCGCAUCAACAACGAUGAAGAUAAUUAGCUAAAUCGACGUGAUUUAACUAACCAUAAAAAUAAAAAAAGAUAUUGGCUGACUGGCAAUGAAAUUGUGGACAUGCACGGCUUUAACGAACUGAAUGAGUGUAUGUGGACUUGGAUCGACACUGACUUGGAUGAAUGCAACAGAAACACUAAGACGCUAGCAAGCAGACAGACAGUAGCAGCAGCAAAAUAUGGAGAUGAUCAAGCAGCAGUUAGCAAUGACAGGAUCACCAAAUGCAGCAGAACAGAGCAGAGGCGCACAGCUUGGACACCACAGCACUGCAGCAGCAGAGCAGAGCAGAGACAGAGCAGCAAUAGGUGGAGGGGCGGCGGCACGGGAUGAACUGCAGCAGGUCCUCUGUAAACAGAGAGAACAGAGGAGGGCGGUGACGCAAGGACGAGCCGGCAGAGACAGGCGCCACGGAAGGGCGGUGAAGAGGACGACGGGCCGGCGGCGACGGGCGUGGACGGGUAGGGACGGCGUGGACAGGCGCCGCGCGAUGGGCGCGGACGAGGGCCGCGCGACAGCCGAUGGAGGCAGCGACAAGCUAUUCCGAGCGCGAGGACGAAGACGGCCGACGGAGGAGGCAGAGGCGGCCAGAUCCGCGACGGGCAGGGCUUGUUGCUCCCCUCCCGCGACCGGAUCGACGACGGAUCCACGACGGGGACGGCGUGGACGGGCGCAGACGGCGCGAACGGGCGCAGACGGCACUGGCGGGCGCUGCGCGACGGCGCGGAUGGAUCCGCCGCAACGGGCGGCGGACAGGAUGGCGGCGACGGAUCCAUGACGGGCAGGGGCUGCUGCUCCCCUCCUACGAGCGGAUCGACGACGGCGGGCGGCAAAUGGCACCCAAUGAGGGGAAAAAAGGGAAAGCUGCUCUCUGCUGCUGCUGUGACUCAAUAACUAAGAAAGAAUGGGUUUGGGGCUGGAGGAUGCCACCCCCAGGAGCAAGACGAAGCUCCCAGGGGCAGCGCAGCGGCGAUGACGAGGGUGGCGGACGGGUCUCAACGCUCUGUUACAAUGAGGGAAGGAAGAAGACUGAACUGUGUUAUUGUAUUGAGAGAGGCCCAAAGGGCUAUAUAUACAAGAGGUGACCCCAAACCCUAGACUAGUACAAUGACUAUAAUACCCUUAACAAGUACAUGUCUGAUCCAAUUUUUUAUCACCUAGAUCUUGAUGUUUGCAGAUGUGAGACCUACUGAUAUCUAUAAACAUUGACAAGGACGUUAAGUUCUUGUUACACCUGCGUGCAAUUUUCAGCAUUAGUUCCAUUCAGUGCAUUCUGGUUCAAGUAGUCGUAAUUCAUUAAGUAUUUAGAGUCAUAAGAAUAUUGAUGGUGUUUUCAUGGAGUCAGGUGCCACUUUCUUUUCUAAUCUCACUUGGUACUGCUUCACGUUUCUUCAUAUUCAGAGCUUUGAUCUACAUCUCACCUUUCCUGAAAAUGUUUAUGGAGACCACUAUACACAUGAAGAUUUGUGUUCUAAAUGAAUAUAGUUAAGCUUUGGUGUCAAUUUGUUUCUUUUGAGGAAGAUGAGUCUUAACCCAAAAUGAUUUCCCAAUGUUUUGUUUAACAAAUAUUGUUUUUAACUGAUGAAUUGAACUUUUUUCAUCUCUG